AGAGUUUGAUCAUGGCUCAGGACGAACGCUGGCGGCGUGCUUAACACAUGCAAGUCGAACGGAAAGGCCCUUCGGGGUACUCGAGUGGCGAACGGGUGAGUAACACGUGGGUGAUCUGCCCUGCACUUUGGGAUAAGCCUGGGAAACUGGGUCUAAUACCGAAUAGGACCACGCGCUUCAUGGUGUGUGGUGGAAAGCUUUUGCGGUGUGGGAUGGGCCCGCGGCCUAUCAGCUUGUUGGUGGGGUAAUGGCCUACCAAGGCGACGACGGGUAGCCGGCCUGAGAGGGUGACCGGCCACACUGGGACUGAGAUACGGCCCAGACUCCUACGGGAGGCAGCAGUGGGGAAUAUUGCACAAUGGGCGCAAGCCUGAUGCAGCGACGCCGCGUGAGGGAUGACGGCCUUCGGGUUGUAAACCUCUUUCAAUAGGGACGAAGCGCAAGUGACGGUACCUAUAGAAGAAGCACCGGCCAACUACGUGCCAGCAGCCGCGGUAAUACGUAGGGUGCGAGCGUUGUCCGGAAUCACUGGGCGUAAAGAGCUCGUAGGUGGUUUGUCGCGUUGUUCGUGAAAACUCACAGCUUAACUGUGGGCGUGCGGGCGAUACGGGCAGACUAGAGUACUGCAGGGGAGACUGGAAUUCCUGGUGUAGCGGUGGAAUGCGCAGAUAUCAGGAGGAACACCGGUGGCGAAGGCGGGUCUCUGGGCAGUAACUGACGCUGAGGAGCGAAAGCGUGGGGAGCGAACAGGAUUAGAUACCCUGGUAGUCCAA
rnacentral:rRNA from 1 species